AGGAGGCUAGUCUAAGAAAGACCUCUGAUUUCGGCUCAGAAGAUUGUGGUUUAAGUCCACGGCCCCCUU
rnacentral:tRNA from 1 species